rnacentral:rRNA from 1 species
UACGAAGGGGGCUAGCGUUGGUCGGAAUCACUGGGCGUAAAGCGCGCGUAGGCGGACUGAUAAGUCAGGGGUGAAAGCCCGGGGCCCAACCUCGGAAUUGCCUUUGACACUAUCAGUCUAGAAUCUCGGAGGGGGUAGCGGAAUUCCAAAUGUAGGGGUGAAAUCCGUAGAUAUUUGGAGGAACACCGGUGGCGCAGGCGGCUACCUGGACGAGAAUUGACGCUGAGGCGCGAAAGCGUGGGGAGCAAACAGG